AGUCCAUUAGGGUAGUGGCCAAUCCUUCGAGCUUCUGGGGCUCGAGACGCUGGUUCGAAUCCAGCAUGGACUA
rfam:Natrialba magadii ATCC 43099, complete genome.